GACGAACGCUGGCGGCGUGCUUAGCACAUGCAAGUCGAACGGAAAGGCCCUGCUUUUGUGGGGUGCUCGAGUGGCGAACGGGUGAGUAACACGUGAGUAACCUGCCCUUGACUUUGGGAUAACUUCAGGAAACUGGGGCUAAUACCGGAUAGGAGCUCCUGCUGCAUGGUGGGGGUUGGAAAGUUUCGGCGGUUGGGGAUGGACUCGCGGCUUAUCAGCUUGUUGGUGGGGUAGUGGCUUACCAAGGCUUUGACGGGUAGCCGGCCUGAGAGGGUGACCGGCCACAUUGGGACUGAGAGACGGCCCAGACUCCUACGGGAGGCAGCAGUGGGGAAUAUUGCACAAUGGGCGGAAGCCUGAUGCAGAAACGCCGCGUGCGGGAUGACGGCCUUCGGGUUGUAAACCGCUUUCGCCUGUGACGAAGCGUGAGUGACGGUAAUGGGUAAAGAAGCACCGGCUAACUACGUG
rnacentral:rRNA from 1 species